UACGGGGGGGGCAAGCGUUGUUCGGAAUUACUGGGCGUAAAGGGCUCGUAGGUGGCCAACUAAGUCGGACGUGAAAUCCCUCGGCUUAACCGGGGAACUGCGUCCGAUACUGGUUGGCUUGAGUUUGGGAGAGGGAUGCGGAAUUCCAGGUGUAGCGGUGAAAUGCGUAGAUAUCGUAAGGAAGACCAGUGGCGAAGGCGGGUCUCUGGACAGUUCCUGACGCUGAGGCACGAAGGUCAGGGGAGCAAACGGG
rnacentral:rRNA from 1 species